AAAUGAAAAAGUAAUGGGUUUGAUAGUGGCUCUGCAAGAACGCUUUAUUAUGGGAAGUAAUACAUGCGAGUGAUAUAGAGUAGCGUACGGGUGAGUAGAUUAUGCGAGUUU
rnacentral:rRNA from 1 species